GACUGCGUAGCUCAGUUGGCAGAGCAUUGGACUAGUAUUCCAAAGGUCGUAGGUUCGAUCCCCCCGUGGCCA
rnacentral:tRNA from 1 species